rnacentral:rRNA from 1 species
CCGCAUGAUACCAGACAGUCCUAUCCAUAAUAGGUCGAGCGGUAGCACAGAGAGCUUGCUCUCGGGUGACGAGCGGGGAAGGGUGAGUAAUGUCUGGGAAACUGCCUGAUGGAGGGGGAUAACUACUGGAAACGGUAGCUAAUACCGCAUAAUGUCGCAAGACCAAAGUGGGGGACCUUCGGGCCUCAUGCCAUCAGAUGUGCCCAGAUGGGAUUAGCUAGUAGGUGGGGUAACGGCUCACCUAGGCGACGAUCCCUAGCUGGUCUGAGAGGAUGACCAGCCACACUGGAACUGAGACACGGUCCAGACUCCUACGGGAGGCAGCAGUGGGGAAUAUUGCACAAUGGGCGCAAGCCUGAUGCAGCCAUGCCGCGUGUGUGAAGAAGGCCUUCGGGUUGUAAAGCACUUUCAGCGGGGAGGAAGGCGAUAAGGUUAAUAACCUUGUCGAUUGACGUUACCCGCAGAAGAAGCACCGGCUAACUCCGUGCCAGCAGCCGCGGUAAUACGGAGGGUGCAAGCGUUAAUCGGAAUUACUGGGCGUAAAGCGCACGCAGGCGGUCUGUCAAGUCGGAUGUGAAAUCCCCGGGCUCAACCUGGGAACUGCAUUCGAAACUGGCAGGCUAGAGUCUUGUAGAGGGGGGUAGAAUUCCAGGUGUAGCGGUGAAAUGCGUAGAGAUCUGGAGGAAUACCGGUGGCGAAGGCGGCCCCCUGGACAAAGACUGACGCUCAGGUGCGAAAGCGUGGGGAGCAAACAGGAUUAGAUACCCUGGUAGUCCACGCCGUAAACGAUGUCGAUUUGGAGGUUGUGCCCUUGAGGCGUGGCUUCCGGAGCUAACGCGUUAAAUCGACCGCCUGGGGAGUACGGCCGCAAGGUUAAAACUCAAAUGAAUUGACGGGGGCCCGCACAAGCGGUGGAGCAUGUGGUUUAAUUCGAUGCAACGCGAAGAACCUUACCUGGUCUUGACAUCCACAGAACUUAGCAGAGAUGCUUUGGUGCCUUCGGGAACUGUGAGACAGGUGCUGCAUGGCUGUCGUCAGCUCGUGUUGUGAAAUGG